GUGGGGAAUCUUCCGCAAUGGGCGAAAGCCUGACGGAGCAACGCCGCGUGAACGAGGAAGGUCUUCGGAUCGUAAAGUUCUGUUGCAGGGGACGAACGGCACUAUAGCCAAUAAGUAUAGUGAAUGACGGUACCCUGUUAGAAAGCCACGGCUAACUACGUGCCAGCAGCCGCGGUAAUACGUAGGCGGCAAGCGUUGUCCGGAAUCAUUGGGCGUAAAGGGAGCGCAGGCGGAACAUUAAGCGGAUCUUAAAAGUGCGGGGCUCAACCCCGUGAUGGGGUCCGAACUGAGGUUCUUGAGUGCAGGAGAGGAAAGCGGAAUUCCCAGUGUAGCGGUGAAAUGCGUAGAUAUUGGGAAGAACACCAGUGGCGAAGGCGGCUUUCCUGACUGUAACUGACGCUGAGGCUCGAAAGCCAGGGUAGCGAACGGGAUUAGAAACCCUGGUAGUCC
rnacentral:rRNA from 1 species